AGAUUAUGUGACUGCCACGUUUCUUCUUCUGCUUUUUUCAGCAUUCUGCAUUUCUGAAGCAUUUCAGGAGAUAAUGACUGAAUUAUGCAGUACGAUCAUGCAGGUUGAGGAGUGGGCAUCACCAUUUGCAGGGUGGGACCAAUUUCUCCUGGCAACCUCAGAAAAUCUUCAAGGAUGGUUUCACUCAGCUGAUUAAAGAUCGGUGACAAAAAGACAAGAAAGUCAUUAAUGGAUACUUCUAAACUUUCAAGAAGCUGCAUA